GGGUGGUAAUGCCGGAUGUUCCACAUGAUCGCAUGUGAUUGUGGGAAAGAUUCUAUCGGCGUGGGAUGGGGUCGCGUCCUAUCAGCUUGUUGGUGAGGUAACGGCUCACCAAGGCUUCGACGGGUAGCCGGCCUGAGAGGGCGACCGGCCACAUUGGGACUGAGAUACGGCCCAGACUCCUACGGGAGGCAGCAGUGGGGAAUAUUGCACAAUGGGCGCAAGCCUGAUGCAGCGACGCCGCGUGAGGGAUGGAGGCCUUCGGGUUGUAAACCUCUUUUGUUUGGGAGCAAGCCUUCGGGUGAGUGUACCUUUCGAAUAAGCGCCGGCUAACUACGUGCCAGCAGCCGCGGUAAUACGUAGGGCGCAAGCGUUAUCCGGAUUUAUUGGGCGUAAAGGGCUCGUAGGCGGCUCGUCGCGUCCGGUGUGAAAGUCCAUCGCUUAACGGUGGAUCUGCGCCGGGUACGGGCGGGCUGGAGUGCGGUAGGGGAGACUGGAAUUCCCGGUGUAACGGUGGAAUGUGUAGAUAUC
rnacentral:rRNA from 1 species